CCACCCGGCGCGGCGAGGAGCCGGGGGUGGCUGCACCCGGGGCCGCUGCCGCCGCGAGUUUCGGGGGUCCCCUGGCCAGCGGGGCGCAGACUGGGCACCAGCAUGCAGAGUAAUAUGGUCCGGAAAAAGAAUCCCCCUCUGAGAAACAUUGCUAGUGAAGGCGAGGGCCAGACCCUGGAGCCUAUAGGCGCAGAAAGCAAGGUCUCUGGAAAGAACAAAGAAUUUUCUGCAGAUCAGAUGUCCGAAAAUACGGAUCAUAGUGACGCUGUGGAACUAAAUAAUAAGGAGGAGCAUAGUAUACAUGUUCAGGAUCCGUCUUCUAGUGGUAAGAAGGACUCAAAGAGCUCAGUCCUGGGUGAGAAGGCUGGCUUCAAUUAUGAAAGCCCCAGCAAGGGAGGAAACCUUCCUUCCUUCCCACAUGAUGAGGUGACAGAUAGAAAUAUGUUGGCUUUCUCGUCUCCAGCUGCCGGGGGAAUCUGUGAGCCCUUGAAGUCUCCUCAAAGAGCAGAGGCAGAUGACCCUCAAGAUAUGGCCUGCACCCCCUCCGGGGACUCAUUGGAGACCAAGGAAGAUGAGAAGGUGUCACCAAAGGCUACUGAGGAAACAGGGCAAGUGCAGAGUGGUCAAGCCAAUUGUCAAGGUUUGAGCCCAGUUUCAGUGGCCUCAAAAAACCCACAAGUGCCUUCAGAUGGGGGUGUAAGACUGAAUAAAUCCAAAACGGACAUACUGGUGAAUGACAACCCAGACGUGGCACCUCUGUCUCCAGAGCUUCAGGACUUUAAAUGCAAUAUCUGUGGCUAUGGUUACUAUGGCAAUGACCCCACAGAUCUGAUUAAGCACUUCCGAAAGUAUCACUUGGGACUGCACAACCGCACCAGGCAGGAUGCUGAGCUGGAUAGCAAGAUCUUGGCCCUUCAUAACAUGGUGCAGUUCAGCCAUUCCAAAGACUUCCAGAAGGUCAACCGCUCUGUGCUUUCUGGUGUGCUGCAGGACAUCAACUCUUCAAGGCCUGUUUUACUAAAUGGGACCUAUGAUGUGCAG